rnacentral:lncRNA from 1 species
CUUUUUGUUAUACUAGUGAAGUUACCCAUGCAUUGUGUCGGACUAAUACUAUAAAAGACAGAAGAUUGAUAAAGUAAAAAUUUUAAAAUUUUUUAAUUUGCCAUAAAAUAUCAAUAAAUAUAAAUAAUAUGAAAAAAGAAUAUGAAGAGAUCUUAUUUUACUUUUUUUUUGUGAAAAUAAUUUAUUUAGAUGACAAUAGACCAUGUGAAUAUAUUAAUUGAAAAAUGAGCGGGUGAGAAGACGAAGCAUCGGGCGGAGAUGGGAAGUGGGAAGGCGAAGCAUCAGGAAAUGAAAAGAAGAGAGAAGGCAAGGGUAAAAAUAAAAACCUGCCAUAUGACAAAUUUUAUAAGAAAUAAUAUAUAGGUAUAAAUAAACGAUGAAAAU